GAUGAACGCUAGCUACAGGCUUAACACAUGCAAGUCGAGGGGCAGCAUGAACUUAGCUUGCUAAGUUUGAUGGCGACCGGCGCACGGGUGAGUAACACGUAUCCAACCUUCCGUUUACUCAGGGAUAGCCUUUCGAAAGAAAGAUUAAUACCUGAUAGUAUGGUGAGAUUGCAUGAUAACACCAUUAAAGAUUUAUUGGUAAACGAUGGGGAUGCGUUCCAUUAGGUAGUAGGCGGGGUAACGGCCCACCUAGCCUGCGAUGGAUAGGGGUUCUGAGAGGAAGGUCCCCCCACAUUGGAACUGAGACACGGUCCAAACUCCUACGGGAGGCAGCAGUGAGGAAUAUUGGUCAAUGGGCGAGAGCCUGAACCAGCCAAGUAGCGUGAAGGAUGAAGGUCCUACGGGAUUGUAAACUUCUUUUAUACGGGAAUAAAGUUUCCUAACGUGUAGGAUUUUGUAUGUACCGUAUGAAUAAGCAUCGGCUAACUCCGUGCCAGCAGCCGCGGU
rnacentral:rRNA from 1 species